CCUANGGGCGGCAGCAGUGAGGAAUAUUGCACAAUGGAGGAAACUCUGAUGCAGCAACGCCGCGUGGAGGAUGACGCAUUUCGGUGUGUAAACUCCUUUUAUUAGGGAAGAUAAUGACGGUACCUAAUGAAUAAGCACCGGCUAACUCCGUGCCAGCAGCCGCGGUAAUACGGAGGGUGCAAGCGUUACUCGGAAUCACUGGGCGUAAAGGGCUCGUAGGUGGCCACCUAAGUCCGACGUGAAAUCCCUCGGCUCAACCGGGGAACUGCGUCGGAUACUGGGUGGCUUGAAUCCGGGAGAGGGACGUGGAAUUCCAGGUGUAGCGGUGAAAUGCGUAGAUAUCUGGAGGAACACCGGUGGCGAAGGCGGCGUCCUGGACCGGUAUUGACACUGAGGAGCGAAAGCCAGGGGAGCAAACGGGAUUAGAUACCCCANUANUC
rnacentral:rRNA from 1 species